AAAUCUCAACCUUUUCAAUUUUGUUGAAUUAGGCUUGGAUUUUUUGGGAGUAGUUUGCAGGCUUCUCAGAAGUCUGCUCUCCUUAAAUGUAUUAGCGGGCCCUUGCUGUCUAGCAUUUUGGUGUGAUAAUUAUCUACGCCAUUGUGAACAGCAUAAUAAGGAGUUCAGCUUCUAGCAACCUCUGACU
rnacentral:misc_RNA from 1 species